rnacentral:lncRNA from 1 species
UACAAACAAUGCUGUUCUUAUCCUCCGAGGGGCCUGCCAGAUCUCCACCUCCUUGUAGAUGGAGAUCUGUCUAGGUCAUUAGAGUUGCCCAGAAUCUCAAUCUGGCCACCCUAGAGCCAGGGCUUGGCCUUUUGCCUAUUCUCCCUUUGGUCUUAGGAUCUGACUAUUGGCUGAGCCUGUCCAUCAUGAUGGAUUGUGUGCUGGUGAGCUCCAACAUCAUUUCUACUCCUACCUAGCCUCCUAUACUGGACUAGGGACUUCUAGGGGGCUAACCUAACCAAGCCCUGGUCUCCACUUUCUAAAGUGGGUCUGUCUUAGCCCUGCAUGUGUUUUCCCUUUUCCCCAGAGCAUUCUCUCACUCUGUCUUCCGUUCUCAGAGGUUCUCAGUUGCAUUGUUCCCGUUAGGUGCUUUUCUGUAGAAGGCCAUUCUGGAAAAAACAAUAAAGUAGGUACC